CCUACGGGAGGCAGCAGUAGGGAAUAUUGCUCAAUGGGGGAAACCCUGAAGCAGCAACGCCGCGUGGAGGAUGAAGGUUUUAGGAAUGUAAACCCCUUUUUUUAGAGAAGAUUAUGACGGUAUCUAACGAAUAAGCACCGGCUAACUCCGUGCCAGCAGCCGCGGUAAUACGGAGGGUGCAAGCGUUACUCGGAAUCACUGGGCGUAAAGAGUGCGUAGGCGGGGUAAUAAGUCAGAUGUGAAAUCCUGUAGCUUAACUACAGAACUGCAUUUGAAACUGGUACUCUGGAGUGUGGGAGAGGUAGGUGGAAUGCGUGGUGUAGGGGUAAAAUGCGUAGAGAUCAAGAGGAAUACUCAGUGCGAAGGCGGCCUGCUGGAACAUUACUGACGCUGAGGCACGAAAGCGUGGGGAGCAAACAGGAUUAGAUACCCCUGUAGUC
rnacentral:rRNA from 1 species